rnacentral:rRNA from 1 species
UUUAAGCUUCCUACGGGAGGCUGCAGUGGGGAAUCUUGCGCAAUGGGCGAAAGCCUGACGCAGCCAUGCCGCGUGAAUGAUGAAGGUCUUAGGAUUGUAAAAUUCUUUCACCGGGGACGAUAAUGACGGUACCCGGAGAAGAAGCCCCGGCUAACUUCGUGCCAGCAGCCGCGGUAAUACGAAGGGGGCUAGCGUUGCUCGGAAUUACUGGGCGUAAAGGGAGCGUAGGCGGACAUUUAAGUCAGGGGUGAAAUCCCGGGGCUCAACCUCGGAAUUGCCUUUGAUACUGGGUGUCUUGAGUAUGAGAGAGGUGUGUGGAACUCCGAGUGUAGAGGUGAAAUUCGUAGAUAUUCGGAAGAACACCAGUGGCGAAGGCGACACACUGGCUCAUUACUGACGCUGAGGCUCAGUACGUGGGGAGCAAACAGGAUUAGAUACCCUUGUAGUCGAAUUCU